GGCUGAAAUUCGCCUUCAUGAAGCCGGAAUUGCUAGUAAUGGCAGGUCAGCAUACUGCCGUGAAUACGUUCCCGGGCCUUGUACACACCGCCCGUCACACCAUGAGAGUUGGGAAUACCCGAAGCCUGUGAGCUAACUUAUAGAGGCAGCAGUCGAAGGUAGAAUCAAUGAUUGGGGUGAAGUCGUAACAAGGUACC
rnacentral:rRNA from 1 species